CACUAUUCUCCUAAUCUCAGUUGGCUCCCUUGCCUCCUUUUGUGUUGUCGUCUCUAACUCUAUUAUAAACCUUUUAAUGAAUCGUGUGUAGACGAGGGGCUUUGAUAAACCUCUUCGUGUAUCAUUUUUCUCCAUGUCCAUCAUAUGGCCCAUAAGGUGACUGACAACUUAACAAAUGACUCAUGUGAUAAUGAAUCAAUCAUCGCAAACAACCGUUGCUGGGCACUUGGUUCAGUUGUCUCGCAUAAAUGCUCCGCCAUAUCACCAUCAACAAGUGCCCAAACGCACUUCGCCAUAUUGCACUCAAGCAAAGAGUGUCUCGAGGAGUCAGCCGCGCCACAAAGAGCACAAAGUGGUAGUAGUGAACAUAUUCCUAUAAGCCCGUACGUCCUCGGUUGGCAAUGAAUGUUUAGCUAAUCUCCAAAGGAACAUACAUAUUUUUCCUGGUAUUGG
rnacentral:lncRNA from 1 species